UUCAGCCAGGCUAGUGCAGUCU
rnacentral:miRNA from 1 species